ensembl:lncRNA
GCUGAUGGUUGCCAGGGGGCUCUGCUCUGAGUCAUCCCCUGGGACCCAGGAUGAUAGAGCAGCUACUUUCUGGAAAUUUGGUGGCUACCUGGGCAGUAGGUUAAUAGAGUUUGGUGAAGAAAGGGUUUUCUCUUAAAGCUUCUGACCGUAAGUGUUGUCACUUGGGUAGAAAUGUGUACUUCAUUGGCCAGAGAGUCACCGGAUCACAAACAGAUGAAGCAGAAAGAUGUGCUGGGAAGAGGAAGUGAAAGAGCCUGAGAUGAAUGAGGGAUCUAGGAUGUUGAGUGUUUAAGAAAUGUUUUGGCUGAAAGACAUGUGAGAUCUUAUAUCCC